UACGUAGGGGGCUAGCGUUGUCCGGAAUCAUUGGGCGUAAAGCGCGUGUAGGCGGUUCGGUAAGUCCGCUGUGAAAGUCGGGGGCUCAACCCUCGAAUGCCGGUGGAUACUGUCGGACUAGAGUACGGAAGAGGCGAGUGGAAUUCCUGGUGGUAGCGGUGAAAUGCGCAGAUAUCAGGAGGAACACCAAUUGCGAAGGCAGCUCGCUGGGACGUUACUGACGCUGAGACGCGAAAGCGUGGGGAGCAAACAGG
rnacentral:rRNA from 1 species